UGUGCAGAAUAUUGGUCGAGUUAUAAGAGC
rnacentral:piRNA from 1 species